rnacentral:rRNA from 1 species
GGCCGCCGUCAGCUCGUGUCGUGAGAUGUUGGGUUAAGUCCCGCAACGAGCGCAACCCUUUUCCUUAUUUGCCAGCGGGUUAAGCCGGGAACUUUAAGGAUACUGCCAGUGACAAACUGGAGGAAGGCGGGGACGACGUCAAGUCAUCAUGGCCCUUACGACCAGGGCUACACACGUGCUACAAUGGUCGGUACAAAGGGUUGCUACCUAGCGAUAGGAUGCUAAUCUCAAAAAGCCGAUCGUAGUCCGGAUUGGAGUCUGCAACUCGACUCCAUGAAGUCGGAAUCCUAGUAAUCGCGGAUCAGAAUGCCGCGGUGAAUACGUUCCCGGGCCUUGUACACACCGCCCGUCACACCAUGGGAGUUUGUUGCACCAGAAGUAGGUAGUCUAACCGCAAGGAGGACGCUUACUCUU